ACUACAAACUGUGCUAUCGCCUGUUUUCGCCUUAAAACGAAAACAUGAGGAAAGUCCGGACAGCACAGAGUAACGCACCACCUAACGGGUGGGGCUUGUUCUUUGAGAAAGGAACGGGCACAGAUAGUGCCACAGAAAAUGACCGCCCCGGAACUGCUCCGGUAGUUUAGGGUAAGGGUGAAAAUGUGGGGUAAGAGCCCACGUCGUGGUAUGGCAACAUAUCAGGAGGGUAAACCUUGCGUGCUGAAAUGCCAUGUAUACGGUCGAUCGAGGGCUGCUCGUCCAAUGACCGAGGGUAGGCAGAUACAGGUGCCGCGUGAGCGGUAUCGCAGAUAAAUGAUAGCGUCUUUCUUCGGAAAGAACAGAAUCCGGCUUAUAGGUUUGUAGUUUCU
rnacentral:RNase_P_RNA from 1 species